rnacentral:rRNA from 1 species
AUGGAUGAGGAGUACGACGUGAUCGUGCUGGGGACGGGGCUCAAGGAGUGCAUCCUCAGCGGCCUCCUCUCCGUCGACCGCCUCAAGGUGCUUCACAUGGACAGGAAUGACUAUUAUGGUGGAGACUCCACAUCGCUCAAUCUCAACCAGCUAUGGAAGAGGUUCAAGGGCGACGAGACACCCCCUGCAAGUAUAGGAGCCAGCAGAGACUACAAUGUAGACAUGGUUCCAAAGUUUAUGAUGGCAAAUGGUGCUUUGGUCCGUGUACUCAUUCAUACUGGUGUUACCAAGUAUUUAUCCUUUAAAGCUGUGGAUGGAAGCUACGUUUUCAACAAGGGAAAGAUCCACAAAGUUCCCUCAACUGAUAUGGAAGCUCUCAAGUCUCCAUUGAUGGGAUUGUUUGAGAAGCGAAGAGCAGGGAAAUUCUUCCUUUAUGUUCAAGAUUACAAGGAAAAUGACCCAAGUACUCACAAGGGGCUGGACCUUACAAAGAUGACCAGUAAACAACUUAUCUCAAAAUACGGUUUGGAUGAUAAUACAAUAGACUUCAUUGGUCACGCGGUCGCUCUUCAUAAGGACGAUAUUUAUCUUUCAGAACCUGCAAUUGAAAUUGUGAAGCGGAUGAAGCUUUAUGCAGAAUCAGUGGCUCGUUUUCAAGGAGGCUCGCCAUAUAUUUAUCCUCUUUAUGGUUUAGGGGAGCUGCCACAGGGGUUCGCACGGCUUAGUGCUGUAUAUGGUGGGACAUACAUGUUGAAUAAGCCAGAGUGCAAGGUCGAAUUUGAUGAUGAAGGGAAAGUUCGUGGAGUUACAUCUGAAGGGGAGACAGCAAAAGGCAAGAAAGUUGUUUGUGAUCCGUCUUACGUACCUGAGAAGGUUAAAAAGGUUGGAAAGGUUUUUCGUGCAAUUGCUAUCAUGAGCCACCCGAUCCCAAAUACUGCUGAAUCUCACUCAGUACAGAUCAUAAUACCACAAAAGCAACUUGGCCGCAGAUCAGACAUGUAUGUUUUCUGCUGUUCCUACUCUCACAAUGUUGCGUCGAAGGGAAAAUUCAUAGCGUUUGUGUCAGCACAAGCAGAGAGUGACAAUCCAGAGGCAGAACUGAAGCCAGGAAUCGAUCUUCUUGGGCCAGUUGACGAGUUGUUUUUCGACACAUACGACAGAUAUGAACCUACUAAUGACCCUUCUUCGGACAAUUGUUUUAUAUCAACGAGUUAUGAUGCCACAACACACUUUGAGUCUACCGUGAUGGAUGUUCUUUCGCUGUAUACAAAGAUCACCGGAAAGACGGUUGAUCUCAGUGUGGAUCUAAGCGCUGCAAGUGCCCCCGAAGAUGAUUGA